CUAGGAAUAUUGGACAAUGGGGGAAACCCUGAUCCAGCCAUGUCGCGUGAGUGAAGACGGCCUUCGGGUUGUAAAGCUCUUUCAGAUGUGAAGAUGAUGACGGUAGCAUCAGAAGAAGCCCCGGCUAACUUCGUGCCAGCAGCCGCGGUAAUACGAAGGGGGCUAGCGUUGUUCGGAUUUACUGGGCGUAAAGCGCAUGUAGGUGGUUUAAUGAGUUAGAGGUGAAAGCCCGGGGCUCAACCUCGGAAUUGCCUUUAAUACCAUUAAGCUAGAGUAUGGUAGAGGAUAGUGGAAUUCCCAGUGUAGGAGUGAAAUCCGUAGAUAUUGGGAGGAACACCAGUGGCGAAAGCGGCUAUCUGGACCAUUACUGACACUGAGAUGCGAAAGCGUGGGUAGCAAACA
rnacentral:rRNA from 1 species